rnacentral:tRNA from 1 species
GGGGGUGUGGCUCGGAUGGCCGGGGCGCAGGCUUUCAGUGCGGGUUGCCGCGGGUUCGACUCCUGUCGCCUCUG